CCCUUAGAUGUUCUGGGCUGCACGCGCGCUACACUGACGCACGCAACAGGUGCCUGCUCCGAGAGGACUGGGUAAUCAUUUGAGUGUGCGUCGUGAUGGGGAUAGAAUAUUGUAAUUAUUACUCUUCAACGAGGAAUUCCUAGUAAGCGCCAGUCAGCAGCUUGCGCUGAUUACGUCCCUGCCCUUUGUACACACCGCCCGUCGCUCCUACCGAUGGGUGAUCCGGUGAAUGAUUCGGACUUCAGCGGCUCCCCUGGGGUGCGCCGGAGAAAGUUUUGUGAACCUUAUCACUUGGAGGAAGGAGAAGUCGCAACA
rnacentral:rRNA from 1 species